UACGGAGGGUGCAAACGUUGUUCGGAAUCACUGGGCUUAAAGGGCGCGUAGGCGGGUGCUCAAGUCCGUGGUGAAAUCCUCCGGCUCAACCGGAGAACUGCCUCGGAUACUGGGCGUCUCGAGUGUGGUAGGGGUAUGCGGAACUAUCGGUGGAGCGGUGAAAUGCGUUGAUAUCGAUAGGAACUCCGGUGGCGAAGGCGGCAUACUGGACCACCACUGACGCUGAUGCGCGAAAGCCAGGGGAGCAAACGGG
rnacentral:rRNA from 1 species